rnacentral:rRNA from 1 species
CCUACGGGUGGCAGCAGUGGGGAAUAUUGGGCAAUGGGCGCAAGCCUGACCCAGCAACGCCGCGUGAAUGAAGAAGGCUUUCGGGUUGUAAACUUCUUUUCUCAGGGACGAAUAGAUGACGGUACCUGAGGAAUAAGCCACGGCUAACUACGUGACAGCAGCCGCGGUAAUACGUAGGUGGCAAGCGUUCUCCGGAUUUACUGGGUGGAAAGGGCGUGGAGGCGGGGACGAAAGUCAGAUGUGAAACCCGAGGGCUUAACCUGUGGACUGCAUUUGAAACUGUGUUUCUAGAGUACAGGAGAGGCAGGCGGAAUUCCUAGUGUAGCGGUGAAAUGCGUAGAUAUUAGGAGGAACACCAGUGGCGAAGGCGGUCUGCUGGACUGCAACUGACGCUGAGGCGCGAAAGCGUGGGGAGCAAACAGGAUUAGAUACCCGGGUAGUC